rnacentral:ncRNA from 1 species
GCUGGAGGGUUCCCGUGGUGCGUGGUCCAGUGCACACACGUGUGGCCGCCGCCGGCAUUGGCACGCGGUUUCGUGUGAAGGGGUUCCCGGGGGUUCUCCGGGCCGGUGCCCCGCCUCAGCUGGUGCCUAGCAGCCGGCUUAGAACUGGUGCAGACCAGGGGAAUCCGACUGUUCAAUUAAAACAAAGCAUCGCGAAGGCCCACGGCGGGUGUUGACGCGAUGUGAUUUCUGCCCAGUGCUCUGAAUGUCAAAGUGAAGAAAUUCAAUGAAGCACGGGUAAACGGCGGGAGUAACUAUGACUCUCUUAAAUCUCAUGGAUUUUAUAUCAAACCGACUAAGGACUCAUAUACAAUCAAUGAUUGUCCAACUU